GGAAGCGAUCAUACCAGCACUAAAGCACCGGAUCCCAUCAGAACUCCGAAGUUAAGCGUGCUUGGGUGAGAGUAGUACUAGGAUGGGUGCCCUCCUGGGAAGUCCUCGUGUUGAAUUCC
rnacentral:rRNA from 1 species